rnacentral:tRNA from 1 species
GGGGUUGUGUCUCAGUGGUACAGUGCUUGCCUAGCAUGCAUGAGGCACUAGGUUCAAUCCUCAGCACCA